rnacentral:tRNA from 1 species
GACGGCGUGAUGUAACGGAUAACACAUCAGUCCGGUCUACUGGAAGAUGCUGGUUCGCUUCCAGCCGCCGAUU